rnacentral:rRNA from 1 species
CCUACGGGUGACAGCAGUGAGGAAUAUUGGUCAAUGGGAGAGAUCCUGAACCAGCCAAGCCGCGUGAGGGAAGACGGCCCUAUGGGUUGUAAACCUCUUUUGUCGGAGAACAAAACCCGGGACGUGUCCCGGACUGCGUGUAUCCGAAGAAAAAGCAUCGGCUAACUCCGUGCCAGCAGCCGCGGUAAUACGGAGGAUGCGAGCGUUAUCCGGAUUUAUUGGGUUUAAAGGGUGCGUAGGCGGGUUAUCAAGUCAGCGGUAAAAUCGUGGAGCUCAACUCCAUCCAGCCGUUGAAACUGAUGAUCUUGAGUGGGCGAGAAGUAUGCGGAAUGCGUGGUGUAGCGGUGAAAUGCAUAGAUAUCACGCAGAACUCCGAUUGCGAAGGCAGCAUACCGGCGCCCGACUGACGCUGAAGCACGAAAGCGUGGGUAUCGAACAGGAUUAGAUACCCGUGUAGUC